rnacentral:tRNA from 1 species
GAGGGUAUAACUCAGUGGUAGAGUGCAUGCUUAGAAUGCAUGUGGUCCUGUGUUCAAUCCUCAGUACCUACA